rnacentral:misc_RNA from 1 species
GGAGAGAAAAGAUACUACUCAAAGAAUGUUCAUUUUGCCCUUUGAUAUAUUGAACUAUGAUGAUGCUUGACAAUGAAACUUUUUAUGUCUUUAUAGGAAAGCCUCUCAUGGGCAAUAAAAGUAAGUUGCAUCUCCUGUUUUUUCCAAAAUCCAGUUAUGAUCACUGGUUCACUUGGUAUAUGCAGAAUUGGGUCGCAUGUUUCUAAUUUCUUUACCUUAAAUGUGAUUUAUUUUUACUCUUAUUUAAGAUAGAGGAAAGACAAAUAAGACUUCCUUU